UAGUGGCGAACGGGUGAGUAACACGUGGGCAAUCUGCCCUGCACUCUGGGACAAGCCCUGGAAACGGGGUCUAAUACCGGAUAAUACUGUGCCCCUCAUGGGGGACGGUUAAAAGCUCCGGCGGUGCAGGAUGAGCCCGCGGCCUAUCAGCUUGUUGGUGGGGUAAUGGCCUACCAAGGCGACGACGGGUAGCCGGCCUGAGAGGGCGACCGGCCACACUGGGACUGAGACACGGCCCAGACUCCUACGGGAGGCAGCAGUGGGGAAUAUUGCACAAUGGGCGAAAGCCUGAUGCAGCGACGCCGCGUGAGGGAUGACGGCCUUCGGGUUGUAAACCUCUUUCAGCAGGGAAGAAGCGAAAGUGACGGUACCUGCAGAAGAAGCGCCGGCUAACUACGUGCCAGCAGCCGCGGUAAUACGUAGGGCGCAAGCGUUGUCCGGAAUUAUUGGGCGUAAAGAGCUCGUAGGCGGUUUGUCACGUCGGGUGUG
rnacentral:rRNA from 1 species